GCCAGCAGCCAUACCACUCUGCAACUCACAACUGGCAGCCCACUGAAGCUCAGCAGGUGUGAGCCUGGUCAGUACCUGGAUGGGAGACCUCCUGGGAAAAACUAAGGUUGCUGCUGGAA
rfam:Lepisosteus oculatus linkage group LG6, whole genome shotgun sequence.